AUUGAACGCUGGCGGCAUGCCUUACACAUGCAAGUCGAACGGCAGCACGGGAGCUUGCUCCUGGUGGCGAGUGGCGAACGGGUGAGUAAUACAUCGGAACGUACCCUGAAGUGGGGGAUAACGUAGCGAAAGUUACGCUAAUACCGCAUAUUCUGUGAGCAGGAAAGAGGGGGAUCGCAAGACCUCUUGCUUUAGGAGCGGUCGAUGUCGGAUUAGCUAGUUGGUGAGGUAAAGGCUCACCAAGGCGACGAUCCGUAGCGGGUCUGAGAGGAUGAUCCGCCACACUGGAACUGAGACACGGUCCAGACUCCUACGGGAGGCAGCAGUGGGGAAUUUUGGACAAUGGGCGCAAGCCUGAUCCAGCCAUGCCGCGUGAGUGAAGAAGGCCU
rnacentral:rRNA from 1 species